rnacentral:lncRNA from 1 species
CGGAAAUAUCUCAACUCAGUGUUUCCCAGCAGACACAUCGAGUGAACCAAAGUUAUAUACGUUGAACACACUUAGGGGCGUGCUUCUAGAGCCAUAACGGCACCUUCAGUUGGGGGAGGGUUAAGAUGGGCUGUGGCUUCGAGGCCGAAUCUACACCUUCGUUGGGAAGCUCGGGGCUAGCAAAUAAAACCCGAAUGUCAUACCCAAACUCCGCCGUUUGACUGACCAGCAGGAUAUCGGAUGGGGAACAAAUUUUCUAAGGAAUAGAUCCGUUGUGUGCUUCCUAGAAACCUAGCCUAUUGUAGGACCUCUUUAUUCUUUUGUAGUAUGAGCAGUCAAAACUCUCUAUCAGCAGUGUAAAUCUACUACCAGUCCAUUACGAUUGCUGUUCUCUUAGUGGCAAGCUACCCAAUAUCUAUUGUGUUGUAGUUAGUGAGUAUUGUAGUAGCUGCAGAGUGUUGUUGUUAACAAAAUGGCUGCUACUUCUUUGUGUUUUCAACUGUGAAGAGGAUUAAGAUUAAGUUUUGAACGAUUUAAACUAAAACAAUUAGAUUAUUCGCUCUCGGUUUAGACGCGUGAUAGUAGGUUCGGGCUGCGCCUUCAUCAACUAUUCGCGAUAAAAAUCGAGAGCGAAUCAUCUAACUGUGAAAUAUUGAGUAUACCCUCUAGUCUAGUAAUUUGCCCAUAUUGACUUGGUUUUGAUUGCUAUCAUGUUUCAGCUGAUAAAGAGACAGAGUGUGGGGUUUGUCCUGUUCAUCAUCACUGCGUUCAGGGAUUUUGUGUUUGUAUUCCCGGAUAUAUUUGCCAAGAUUUGACAAGAUCUAUGGGCUAAAAAUCAUCAACUGAUGAAGCCUGGGGACAAUUUUCUAAGAUUUGAGACCAAAACUCUCUGUCUGUUGGAGUCAACGCACCUGCAUCAGUUAUAAGAUGUGGACAAAGUGAAGAGAUAGAGUCGUUGCAUUUUGCUUUCGGGAGUUUCCUUUUGUACAGUGAUAUAUUAUAUUAUUAUGUUAUAAAUUGAUGUCAUGUACAGUUUUUCAGUAGGUAGCCGAAGAAUUCAAAGUAAGCUGUAUGGUCAAAGUCUUUACCUGAAUACGAUACUGUUACAAGGAAGAAAUUCCACUUCUAAAUAUUUUUGUAUAACUGGCAAUUCUGAGUAUCAUCAUCACAUUAUCAAUUAAAGCAAUCCUAAGAAUGAUUUCCCGGCUACAACAGCACACCUAAUUUAAUUUAUGGAUAGAACAAUUGAGCUGUGCGAUUCAUGAAACGCUCCCUGGUCAGAAGUAACAAAACUAGACAAAAUUCUACAGCGAAACCUGUAUUAAGCGGACACCCUUGGCACCCUCAUUAGUGUCCGCUUAAUACAGUGUGUCCGCUCAAAACAGGUUCUAAUAUGUUGUGCAGUAAUAGUUAAUUAUUAACCCUUUUGUAAACACAAUGUAACACAGUGUGAGAUCACAGACUGCUCAUAUGCACAAUGUUCAGUCAGUCAGUGCAUCAAUCUGAAAUAAUCACUUAGCUUUAAAACGACAUCGCUGAACAAUGUUAAAGGAGUCUGAGUUGAGCCUUUAGAGGUAAAAUGCCCUUGGAGUGUCCGCUUACUGCAGGUUUUGUGCAACAAAAUGGCUUAAUGUUGGUGUCCGCUGAAUACAAGUUUAUUUUACAGUAAAUGUGGAAAGAAUAUUAUGGGACUUCAGCUGGUGUCCACUUAAUAGAGGGUGUCCGCUUAAUAUGGGGUCGGCUUAAUACAGGCUUCACUGUAUAACUAUACUAUAUGCAAUAUAAUUAGUAAUUCACUGAUAUAUAUAUACACGAAAGAGACAGACGGGAAAAAGGCCAGGUGGUAAAAAGUUGGGCUUUAGAGCAAAGUGCAGUGAGGCUUAAACGUUCCUGUUUUACAGCUGAUCAGACCAAGUUGAUUAAGUGAGUAUCUUAAAGUUUAAGACUAGCUGGUGUAUGUGGAACGAGAUGGAAUGGCAGCUUGCGUCAAUCCGUUUAUCUGGCGCUGGUAAAAUCUUGAGCUCUUUUAUGUUGAAUUGUCUCAGCAGGGUCGCACAGUAAUAUUACAAUAGAGUACUAAAUAAAGUGCAGUUUUGAAGCAAUUCCUAUCAUAUACUCUGAUUCACCAAGGGAUCGUUUAAUUGAUAAAUAAAUCAAAUCAUACGGACCAAGAUAUUUUUUCCCUUUGAUAUCCAAGGAAGUAGGGCAAUGGUACUAAGCUCAAGUCCAGUUAUUACACUGUAUAUUUGUCAUUGCCUAGAAUUCCGUAUUCAUCAAAAUUUUGCUAUUUUAAAAUCAUACUUAGUGGUGUUUUUGCUAAAACUGCCUGUGAACGGGCUCUUCAUCCUGUCCGAUUCUUUUGGAUAUUAAUGAUAUCUAGAAUGUUUUUACAGCUUGUGUCACCAUCAGAUUUCUUUGUCGAUUGCCAGAAUGGAAGAAGAACAUGUCUUCAAAGUUGGGCAAAGGCAAGCCAGUGGUUAACGUGCUCGGUACAACUUGUGAGGGCCACUUAUAUUCUCAUAUGUGCUUCUGGGCUCCACGUAAGCUAAGUUCCCCACAGUAUAAGCCGCUGGUAUGUGGACAAUUAGACUUGAAACCAGAUGUAUGCCACCCUCACCAAGGCUGCAACCAGCAAAAAAUAUGACCGAGGCAAGGUCUAAGAAAAAGUUAUAUCUGAGGCAAUGUACAUGGUUAAAUUUUCUUCCUAGGUAUUUAGGAUGUUUAUGAUAAUAACUACAAGCGACAAGAA